ACGGCUUCUCGGCCUUUUGGCCAAGAUCAAGAGUAGUAUCUACUCUUAUCAGUUUAAUAAUGGCUACUCUUUCCUGGCACUGGGAUGAAAUUUUGAUUCAUUUAGCAAACUUAAUCCUU
ensembl:snRNA U2 U2 spliceosomal RNA